GAUGAAGAACGCAGCGAAAUGCGAUACGUAAUGUGAAUUGCAAAUUCAGUGAAUCAUCGAGUCUUUGAACGCACAUUGCGCCCCCUGGUAUUCCGGGGGGCAUGCCUGUCCGAGCGUCAUUGCUGCCCUCAAGCACGGCUUGUGUGUUGGGCCCCGUCCUCCGAUCCCGGGGGACGGGCCCGAAAGGCAGCGGCGGCACCGCGUCCGGUCCUCGAGCGUAUGGGGCUUUGUCACCCGCUCUGUAGGCCCGGCCGGCGCUUGCCGAUCAACCCAAAUUUUUAUCCAGGUUGACCUCGGAUCAGGUAGGGAUACCCGCUGAACUUAAGCAUAUCAAUAAGCAGAGGA
rnacentral:misc_RNA from 1 species